rnacentral:misc_RNA from 1 species
GAUGAAGAACGUAGCGAAAUGCGAUAAGUAAUGUGAAUUGCAGAAUCCAGUGAAUCAUCGAAUCUUUGAACGCACAUUGCGCCCGCCAGCAUUCUGGCGGGCAUGCCUGUUCGAGCGUCAUUUCAACCCUCGACCUCCCCUUGGGGAGGUCGGCGUUGGGGACCGGCAGCACACCGCCGGCCCUGAAAUGGAGUGGCGGCCCGUCUGCGGCGACCUCUGCGUAGUAAUACAGCUCGCACCGGAACCCCGACGCGGCCACGCCGCAAAACACCCAACUUCUGAACGUUGACCUCGAAUCAGGUAGGACUACCCGCUGAACUUAAGCAUAUCAAUAAGCGGAGGA